AAGUAUCCAGUCAUAGAUGGCUCCAACUAGCAACUGGGGAGGGUUUCCUGCUAGAAGUAGGCUUCCAGAACAGUCCAGGCCCACUCUAAUCUUUGUCUUUGAGAACCAAGGAAGCACUCUCAGCCUGCCCCAUAGACUAAGCCUGGUUGUUUGUGCUUCAAUCAUGUAACGAGGCAUUGGGCUUGUGACUUGCCAGCCUUCAGGAUUUUAGGGCUCUGAGAGCCUCUAGGAACAUGACAUCUUUUUCAUCUUGAUGCUCACUGUCUGAUUAGCACAGGUGUGGGAGACUGAGACUGGGUACCUGAACAGAUGCCUCUGUGACCCCUGUCCCACCUCUCUGGGGUCUUGGGUGGGGACUUCAAUAGGUUUGGGGAAGGCAGAGUGUUAAGGGAGUCACAGGAGUCACAGACCUGCAGGCAUCUUACAGACAAGGAAAUGGACGAGAUACAAUCAAUACUUGUCUGAGGUUACAGAGUUCAUGAGCGGCAGUCUGGAUCUCUGCUCGGUGCAGUUAACUACUGAGCCCCAAGUCUUGCCACAGCUUCAGACACAGAGGAGCAGGGCACAGGAGACUCUGUUUGGUGUUUCCAGAAGCUAGCCAGCGCUGGGCUAGUCUGAACCUGGUGCCUGCACUUCCUGCAUCACCCUUAGUUACUGGCUGGACCCAAUGCUGAAUUUGACCUUGACUGUCAUCCCAUAUGAAUGAGGCUACACUGUCA
ensembl:lincRNA 1700034B16Rik RIKEN cDNA 1700034B16 gene